UCCACUGUAAAAUGCCAUUUCAUAUCAUUCAACACAGAGAACUCAAGCUACAAAAACCACUUUGUUUGAAAACUUGAAGAAAUGUAAAAACCUUUCCAUAGAUCUUAGUUCACUUUACUAUCUUCCCGCCUAAUUCACUCAUUCAUACUGAGAUUUUUAUUUGGCUGUGUAUCCCAGGAGAAGACAUCUGGGCUGGAAUGAGGUGCAUCGCAUUUCCAUGCCUGUGAAAGAAGGGAGCCAACUCUGUCUCUGUGUUCAUGCAAAGAAAAUUUUAUUCUACUUAUUCCUACAGGUUUUUAUAGCAUACAAGGUAGUUUCCUACAUGACUGUUUUCAGGUAUU